AAAUGCGAUAAGUAAUGUGAAUUGCAGAAUUCAGUGAAUCAUCGAAUCUUUGAACGCACAUUGCGCCCGCCAGUAUUCUGGCGGGCAUGCCUGUCCGAGCGUCAUUUCAACCAUCAAGCCCCCGGGCUUGUGUUGGGGACCUGCGGCUGCCCGCAAGCCCUGAAAACCAGUGGCGGGCUCGCUGUCACACCGAGCGUAGUAGCAAUCACCUCGCUCAGGGCGUGCUGCGGGUUCCGGCCGUUAAACAGCCUUACAAAACCCAAGGUUGACCUCGGAUCAGGUAGGAAGACCCGCUGAACUUAAGC
rnacentral:misc_RNA from 1 species